CAACUUGUGACGACCCCGAUUUGACCGUACACUAAUCAUGCACGCAAAUUUGUACGAUCAAGAUCGGAGACUCAUGAAAAGAUAUCACAACACAACUCUAAAAGUAAAAUAAGUCAUACAAGCAUAAUAUUACAACCUAGGGGCCUCGAGGGCUCGAAUACAAGUGCUCGAACAUAAAUGAGUCAGCGGAAGCAACAAUAUCUGAGUACAGACAUAAGUUAAACAAGUUUGCCUUAAGAAGGUCGACGAUCGAAAAGGCGAGGCCUCCUGCCUGGGACCUCCUAACUACUCCUCGAAACCGAACUCCAUGUAGAACCAUCCUCGGGAUCCUCUGGCUCCUGGACUCCAACGUAUGGUUGCGGCAUCCGGGAAGAAGGGAAAAAGGGGGGAAAGAGGGAGCAACACAACCAUGAGUACUCAUCCAAAGUACUGGCAAGCAAGGAUCUACACUACAUAUGCAUGGGUAUAUGUGUAAAGAGGCAAUAUCGUGGACUGAACUGCAGAAUGCCAGAAUAAGAGGGGGAUAGCUAGUCCUAUCGAAGACUACGCUUCUGGUAGCCUUCGUGUUGCAUCAUGUAGAAGAGAGUAGAUUGAAGUCCUCCGAGUAGCAUCACAUAGCAUAAUCCUACCCGGUGAUCCUCCCCUCGUCGCCCUGUGGAAAAGCGAUCACCGAGUUGUCUGUGGAACUUGUCUGGGUGUGUUUUAUUAAGUAUCCAGUUCUAGUUGUCAUAAGGUCAAGGUACAACUCCGGGUCAUCCUUUUACCAAGGGACACGGCUAUUUGAAUAGAUCAACUUCCAUGCAGGGGUGCACCACAUAACCCAACACGCUCGAUCCCUCUGGCUGGACACACUUUCCUGGGGCAAUGCCCGGCUUCGGAAGAUCAACACGUCGCAGCCCCACCUAGGCACAACAGAGAGGUCAGCACACCGGUCUAAAUCCUAUGCGCGCAGGGGUCUGGGCCCAUCGCCCAUUGCACACCUGCAUGUUGCAUGCGCGGCCGGAAGCAAACCUAGCCCCCUUAAUACAAGAGCAGGCUUACGGUCCAAUCCGGCGCGCGCCGCUCAGUCGCUGACGUCACGAAGGCGUUGGCUGAUACCACGACACCGAGUGCACAUAACUGUUCCCGCGUAGUUGGUUAGUUCGUAUAGGCCAGUGGCCAGACUCAGAUCAAGUACCAAGAUCUCGUUAAGCGUGUUAUUAUGAAGUAACCGCGAACGUCGACCAAGGCCAAGCCCACCUCUCGCCUAGGUGGUCUCAACCUGCCCUGUCGCUCCGCCACAAAGAUCCACACAGAGGGCCGUCGGAACAAACGUCCUUUCAUCCCCCAAUCCGUGAAUCACUCGCGGGUACUCAACGAGCCGACCCGACUUUAGUCAUCAUCUGUAUAGUAUGUAUAUAUGUAUAGUAUAUACCCGUGAUCACCUCCCGAGUGAUCAUGACCCAAUAGUAUAGCAAGGCAGACUGACAAGAAUUUAGGGCCAAUGAUGAUAAACUAGCAUCCUAUACUAAGCAUUUAGGAUUGCAGGUAAAGGUAUCAACAGAUGUAGCAAUAAUGACAGGCUAUGCAACAGAAUAGGAUUAAUCGAAAUAGUAACAUGCUACACUAGUCUAAUGCAAGCAGUAGAGGGUAGAAUAGGUGAUAUCUGGUGAUCAAGGGGGGCUUGCCUGGUUGCUCUGGCAAGAAGGAGGGGUCGUCAACACCGUAGUCGAUCGAGGCAGCAGCGACGUCAGUCUCGUUGUCUACUGGAGAGAGGAGGGGGAAGAAACAAUGAAUACAGAGCAAACAAAGCAUCACAAAACAUAAAGAGCCAAUACGCGGUACUAGGUAUGCCCUAAUGCGGUACUAGGCGUUACUGGCGAAGGGGGAAAACAUCCAUGAAAAUUUUCCCGAAGUUUGCAGUUUUCGAACUUACGAAAGAGAGGGGACGGUUCCAUGUUCACUAUGCUAGGGGCAUGUGACAGACGAACGGACCAUGUAUUCAGAUUCGUCUCGUCGUUCUGAGCAACUUUCAUGUAUAAAGUUCUUCCAUCCGAGCUAUGAUUUAUUUCUAUGAUUUUUUCGAAGUUUAAACAAUACUAUGGAAUUCCUGAAAAUUGGCUAAGUCUGAGGACUGUUCAGUUUUUUAAAGCUCCAUUGGGCUGUUUUCUGAAGGCUAUAAUUAAUGUUAUGUAGUUCUAAUGAAGACACUGCAUAUAAGUGUUUUACUCUACAUCAACAGUACUACAAGGCCAUGCCAUUAGAUGGCCUGAACAGCUCCUAUAACAGGUCCAUUUACAGCUGUGAAGUAGUUAAGACACUAAAUCUGUUUUUCAGUUUUCUCUCUUAAUAGAACAUAGACUAUUGUCAUUUUUAUAGGAAUUAAUCCAUGCUGUCUUUGAAUUUGGUCCAACGGAGUAACUUGGACCUUGUCAAGCAUACUUUGUACUCAUAUUUUCUUUAGCCUUGUUAACAGUUGUCUAACCGCAGUUUAGGGACUGUCUAGAGGGUUAGUCAUUGUAGAUUUAUAAAAGCUAGCUCGCCGCUGCAGUAACUGAAUGUUACUAUAGCAACGUUGCACUAGUAGCAGCAGCAUUACAGCAAGCAGCGGCGCUCAGGGCAGCGAUGCAGUAGGAGCAGCAGUUUGGCAGGAGCAGCAGUGAGCAGACGCAGCAACAGCAAGCAGGUGAGGGUGUGGCCAGUCGGAGGCGGGCUCGGCCAGAGGCACACACACACAUUCACUGCACGUACACACACACAGCACGCACACAUGCUGCACACUAACACAACACACACAGGCACGGGCGCUGGCCAUGGUCGGCCGCAGCAGCGGCAUAGAGCAGCAGCAGUACAGGGGAGCAACAACGACAGCUAGCAAGAGCUGGCAACACAGCAGCGGCUACGAGCAGCAGUGGCGAAAGUACGAGCGGUAAGCAGGGAGGGGGAAAUCGAAGGCACGGUGAGGGCAGUGGUCGGGGCGCGCGGGCGCUUGCGUGAUCGCGCUGCCAGGGCGUGGCGGGGUGUGGCCCGACGCACCAGGAGGGUCGGAGGUGUGCACGCGCAGGCGCGAAUCCCCGGCGCAGACAUGGUGAGCGCGCGACGGCGCUGCACGCGUGCGGGCCAGGGGGCGCGAGCGUACAGCCACGCAUGGCCAAGCGUGCGCGGGAGCGUGGCCGGGCGGGAGCCGCAUGGUCCAGAGCGCGAGCCCCUGGUGCGGUGGUGCGGCGAACUAAGACGGCUGAGAACGGAAGGGAAAGGGGGAAACUAAAGGGGGAACAUGUCACAGCGAUGCUCGGGCGUUUCGGGACGGGUCGGGGAGGCCGGAAGAGGUCGAGCAUCGAUGGGUCAACGGCGGGGAUCCUGGACGACCGAUGGUGAAGAAGACCCCGAUGGCGAGGCUGGAGGCGUUCCGGCGACAAACCCGUCGGAGGGUGGUGUCCAGCGUGAUGCACUGGUCCUCCUGGGCAUGGAGUCAAGAUGAUGGGCAUCCGACGUCCAUGGGAUCGACGGUGAGCAUGGCGACGGGUUUGUGGUGGAGCUCUGAUCGAGCGCACGGGCAAAGGGAAAGGGGGAUGUGAGGUCUAGGGUUUGUGCGCUGGCUCGGGGUCGGCCUUAUCUCCCCCGGAGCUCGGGUGGAUGCCCGACGUGUGUGUAUCGUCG
rnacentral:lncRNA from 1 species